UCCGGUUUGGCACCGGCAGUCUCCCUAGAGUUCCCGGCAUGACCCGCUGGCAACUAAGGACAGGGGUUGCGCUCGUUGCGCCACUUAAGGCAACACCUCACGGCACGAGCUGACGACAGCCAUGCACCACCUGUGCAGGCUCCGAAGAGCGCCCGCUUUCACGGGUUUCACCCUGCAUGUCAAACCGGAGGAAGGUGGGGAUGACGUUAGGAAUGUCGAUA
rnacentral:misc_RNA from 1 species